UACGGAGGGUGCAAGCGUUGUUCGGAAUUACUGGGCGUAAAGCGCGUGUAGGCGGUCGCUUAAGUCUGAUGUGAAAGCCCGGGGCUCACCUCCGGAAGAGCAUUGGAAACUGAGCGACUCGAGUGCCGGAGAGGAGGGUGGAAUUCCUGGUGUAGCGGUGAAAUGCGUAGAUAUCAGGAGGAACACCGGUGGCGAAGGCGGCCCUCUGGACGGAUACUGACGCUGAGACGCGAAAGCGUGGGGAGCAAACAGG
rnacentral:rRNA from 1 species